ensembl:lncRNA
AAUUUUCAAAGCAUAUAAUACAUUAUUAUUAGUUAUAGUCAUGUAUAAAUAGAUCCUUUGAAUUCUUUUCACUUCUUUAGCUGAAAUAUUUAUCCUAUGGUUAGGGUCUCCCCAUAUAUGGUGUUAUUUCUUUUAACAAAAAUGAAUCUUAUAGUAUCUAUCUGGAAACAUUCAUUCAUUCAUUCAUUCAAAGCUUUCAGAAGACACUGUAGGAAUGAAUGCGGAAUAAAAGGCACGCUGCUUUGCUGAUCAGAGUGGUCAAACUGUCUUCACACAUAAUGUGUUCAAGUCACCUCUCCACUGAAAACUCUGGCACACUGUCACCUGUUGGUUGGAGUCCAACCUUGUGUUCUAGGUGGUUAAACCGUCUCAUCCAAGCAUUCUCAGUCCCAUCACGUUCCCUUUCCUUCCACUCCUUCCACCUCCUUCCUUCCCUAUCUGUCAGCUUUUGUGUCACUGGAACACAAUGACCACUCCCCACACUUUAAAAGAAGAGAGGUUUAAUGUGGUGCACACUUUCAAGGGGACUCUGUCCGUGGUCAGCUGGUUCCAAGGCAAGACCAUCAUGGCAGAACGGCCUGGCAGAGCAAAGAGCGCAGAGCUGCUUGCUUCCUCUUUCGCAAGCCCCCUGUUCCCCCUCACAGACUUACCUUCUGCUCUUCCGCCUGUGCUCUGGGCCUGGGAUACAUUCUCUUUCUCAUCUCAGUCCCUGGCCAGUCUACAGUGAUCCGGCUCACAUGUGGCUACUGCUCUUGUCAAGUUGUAGCUUGGAAAGCUACUUCAAUGUCCUUAUUGGUAGCGAUGCCUCCCUUUUCAACUACACUGAACUCUUCAUGGAGGCAGAGUCCGUGUGUUUCAUCUUUGUGCCCAAGUGCCUGCACAGGGCCUGGUUUUCCAGGGGUGUUAGUAAACGUUUUUCAACUGAGUAAAUGAGAAAAUGUGUCACUUCUCUAGCUAGCGGUUCAUUUCGGUCCAGGCUCUUUCAUUCUGGACUUCAGCACCGAGCGUCCCUUUAGUGGGACUGAGUAGACUUCGCCAGUUUCCAAAGUCUACUCCUUUUCUAGCUUUUCGGAAGACAUUCAGUUAUUGAUCCAGCUUUUUUUUUUUUUAGAGCAGUAGUGGAGUAUUUUCUAUCACUAGGUGUUUUGCUAGUCAGAGAGAGAAAAAGAUGUUCAGGGCAGAUACCUCAUCAACUUGUCUUGGGCCACUUUAGGAAGGAAAGGAACACAAGAAAACAGAUUUGUCUCCUUCUAUUAGCUCCAGCCACUGCGCUUCUCCUGGCAGUUUCAUUUCUGAGUUGAUCGUUUGAUUGUAACAAAAACUUGAGUGGGUGGAGGGCAGGGCCAGUUGACAUAUUGAUCUGGUUAUAAAUGGUCCUAAAAGGUCCCUUUUGGCUUUGGCUAAUGUCUGGGGUCAGGCACCUUUUCAAAGUUGAAUUAUUUCAAGGUCAACCAUUUCCAGGUUCUCUUCACCCACGGGAGUGCUCAAAAACUCAGAUAAAAGGUAUUUUCUAAGCAAUGUAAGGGGAAAAUGGAAGGCGUUGGUUGUUUCAAACUUAUUGGUCUGUGCAAGCAGACAGAGGGCACUGACUGACACCCUGAAACCACUGUUUAUCUGUUGUGAAUUUGCUAAUCCAGUACCCACUCCCUUUCCAAUCCCUCUUUGCUCAGUCUUCAGAAAAGGCUGGCAUCUGGGUGCAGGGCAACGGAGGAGAGUGGUGUGGAAGGCGGCAGGAUGCCAACGUUCCUUUGCCUUCUGUUGUCUCGUGAGUGAUGUCAAGUCAUCUGGUGGCUACUUGCACCAGAGGAAAGGAUUAUUAAUUACUCUGACCAUUCUCUCUGGGACCCCACCCCCUUAAAGUAGCUAUGGUGAAGAUGAUAGAAUUACAGACACAAGGGCACUUAGCAGAAUUAAUAUUCUGCGGCAACGAAGGUCUGUGCCGGUCUCCUUUUCCAUGUUUUCCUGCUACUCCCUCAUCUCUCAUGGAGUAGGCUGGGUGAAUUUAUAGAGAAGCAAAGCAAAGACAAAUGGCAGCAUCUCUUCGUAGCCACUGAAUGACCCGGGUAGCACAGUAAUGAGCACAAACCGUGCACUCUAAGGCGAAGGGGAGGAAAGGUGCUGACACAGCUCUUGCUUUGAUUGCAUUUACAAUAUUAUAGGAGAAAUUGAGAGAGAGAGAGAGAGAGAGAGAGAGAGAGAGAAUUGGGGAGGGAUACGGGGAUUUGGAGGUGAAGAUGAGAGCCCUGCUGGUGGCUGUUCUGUUCCAUGGUUAGAACUCUGCUGCUUUGUUUGUCCACUGACCUUCCUCAGGAGUCUUGUUUGACAACCUCAGAGAAUAAAUUUCUCCUUCAUCCCUCUCCUUGGCCCUCAAAGUAGCAGGAACAGAGGAGCUUCACGCAGAACCAAUAUGUUCACUUCCAGAGUGGAAAGGUUAAUUCCUUCUGCUGUUCACUCCAUCACUGACCUCUAGAUGAUGGUGCCCAGGGUACCAAUUAGUGCUAAUUGCUACUGGUGGUGGAGAAAGAUUCAGUGACAAAUGUCUGCUAAGAAAAGGGCUGAGACCCCUAACUCACUUCCUGGGGAGUGUGUCCAUGAGCCCGGGCGCUGGGAGAUAAUACAACAGGAUGGCAGGGCAGGAAGCAAAAGACAGUCAUUAUCCAGAGCCCUGGCCUGUCUCAUUACAGCCCACUGCAGCCACCAAGAGUCAUGCGUUCAUUAAUUUUCCUAGAAAGAGGAAUUUUGCUAUUGCUUCUGCAGCUCUCACUUUGAUGUAGAAGGACUCGAAAGUAUCCUCAAAGUGAGAGUCACUCCAAUUACAGAUGGGGUAAAAAUCCACUGCCUCAAUCUUGCCUAGCAAAGCAGCAGGAGAUCUUUAUGCCCAGGGAAAUAAAUUUUUAACUGACUUGCUAGAAUGUGUCAAAGUUUCCUGGAUAAAAUUGGGAAAGUAAGCAUGACUUUUUAAACCUUGCAAGUUGAUGGACAAGAAAACAUGAGAGAAGAGAUUUCCUCUGAUUAGUCUAGUUAGCUCACACUUGGUGAGUGGAAAAUUCUGUCAAAGGGCACUGGUGACCUUGGUGUCAUAGAUUUACAUUAAUGUAAAAAGAGCUGCUUUGCAUUAAACCAAGUUUUUCCUGAUUUGACCGUUAUGGUCUUGGAGAAGGCAUUUCGUUUUAGGUAUGCAUCCCUCAAGUAGCCAGCACUGGCUUCAACUAUUGCCAACUGCCGGUUGUAAAUAGCUUUCCCUGUAAAACAAUGCCUCAUCUUUCAAACUGCUACUUUCUUACAGAAAGAAAAGUCCUGAACUUCUUUCAGCACUCACCAGCUGUUCCAGAUGUUGGGAUUACACAUGGAGGACCACAUUUUGAGCUAAAAAUAUGUACCGGAGCUUGACUUCAAAUCUCUUCAGCAUCAUAAGUUAUCUUAUUUAUCACCUAGACCUCGUGCUUGCCAGACAGGAGCGGCACCGCUGAGCUAAAUCCCCAGCCCAAUAACAAGUACUUUAAAGCUUCCUCUCAACUUUUACAAGAUCAACUUUGAGAUCCCUCGUCCGAGUAAGAUCAUUUCCCUUUACAUAAUGAUCUCCAGUUCCAACACUGCUGUAAAGGACUGGAUUUCGUCCCUUCUUAAGGCUGAAUGUGUACAUCACAAUCUUCAUCCAUUCUUCAGUUGAUGAAUAGAUACUUCACUUCUUCUCAUUCCCAGCUUUUCCUCCCUUCUCCUUCUGUGUGCCUUCCUGUAUGACAACCAGUGAAGGACAAAAACUACACUUCUUGGGAGGAUUCUGUCCUCUGGACUGAAGCCUGAAAUCUCCCAGACAAAUUGGUCACAAUUCUCAUCGAUUCCCACGAAUGCAGAAACUAUCAAAAUUCAGAAGCACUGCAUCUCUGGAGAGGAGGGAGUUGCAGCAGGAGAAGCCAUGAGAUCUCUCUUUCUUUUUUAUUGUUUUGUUUUUCGAGAUCUCUCUUUCAUGCUUCCACUCUUCCACUGGGCAUCUCCAUGCUUCACUGUAGAGACCAUGAGGCAGUUUGGCACCGCCUGAAACAUGGGAGGGACAAGUGUUGCUUUCAUUCAGAAGCCCUAAGUCACUGAGCUCUUCUGUGUUCACCAAGAGGAAAAUGCACCUAUGUUUUUUUGAUAUCUCUGACAUGAAAUACAAAUCGUACCAAUUCAGCUUCCAUAUAAUAGUCCUUACAUUUUCUCAUUAUACUUUUCAAAAAUCACAUGUAAUCUCUUUCUGUCUUCUUACCUUGACUAUGUGUUCCUUGAGCAUAAGGACCAUGUCUUUGCAUCUUCAAAAAACUCUCUGUAGCACCUGGCAUUGUGUCUAGCCUAAAAGUAAGUUCAUAAAAAUUUCAGUUUUUCAAAUUUUGUGAGUAAAUAUCAGCAGUGAAAUGUGUAGUACAUAAAAGUCCUUUCACUCAAAGAUGUCUGAAAACACAUGCAUAAAAAUGGGUGAAUGAAUGAAAGAAUGAACAAGCGAAAGGUCUGGGAUGUCAAAGAGGUGAUUGUGUUGGUGACCAAUGAAGAAACCAAUGUCGAUAGUUUUCAGAAACAGUUCCUAGUAGCCCAGCCAGGGGCUUGUCCUCUGGCUUUAACUUUUUCUUGUUAAGAUCUAAUCAUAGGAAUCUGUGGUUAGCAGUAAAGAAUCCCCUUCUAUUCACUCACAUUCAUUUCAAAAAUAUUUAUGGAUUGCCUGUUACGUGUCAGGCACAGUUCUUGGCGCUAGAAGUAAGAAAAAGAUAGAGAACAAACAUCCUUCUUCUCAUUGAGUUUAUGUUGAUGUCUUGUUACUUUCCUCAUUUCUGGGACAAAAUACAUGAAUGACACCCACAGCUUAAAAAAAUGAGAGGUUUAUUUCUCUCAUGUUUCAGAAUUUCAGUCCUAGCAUGGUCCGCUGGCUCCAGGCAGAAGCAGCAUGGGGGAAGGUCCGCUCAGGACAAGAUGGAC